GCCGGUGUAGCUCAAUGGCAGAGCGAUCACUUCGUAAGCGAUAGGUUAGUGGUUCGAGUCCACUCACUGGCU
rnacentral:tRNA from 1 species